rnacentral:rRNA from 1 species
GAUGAACGCUGGCGGCGUGCCUAAUACAUGCAAGUCGAGCGAACAGACGAGGAGCUUGCUCCUCUGACGUUAGCGGCGGACGGGUGAGUAACACGUGGAUAACCUACCUAUAAGACUGGGAUAACUUCGGGAAACCGGAGCUAAUACCGGAUAAUAUAUUGAACCGCAUGGUUCAAUAGUGAAAGACGGUUUUGCUGUCACUUAUAGAUGGAUCCGCGCCGCAUUAGCUAGUUGGUAAGGUAACGGCUUACCAAGGCAACGAUGCGUAGCCGACCUGAGAGGGUGAGCGGCCACACUGGAACUGAGACACGGUCCAGACGCCUACGGGAGGCAGCAGUAGGGAAUCUUCCGCAAUGGGCGAAAGCCUGACGGAGCAACGCCGCGUGAGUGAUGAAGGUCUUCGGAUCGUAAAACUCUGUUAUUAGGGAAGAACAAAUGUGUAAGUAACUAUGCACGUCUUGACGGUACCUAAUCAGAAAGCCACGGCUAACUACGUG